rnacentral:misc_RNA from 1 species
UAACCGCGAUAUUUGAUGUGAAUUGCAGAACUACGUGAAUCAUCGAAUUUUUGAACGCAUUGCGGCUUCGGGGCUUGCCCUGAAGCCACACUUGGUAGAGUGGCGGUAAUUAUAUUUCUCUCCUGUAGCUACGGCUACUUGAGAGGUGUUGAGGGUGUAGCUAGCUCAAGGCAACUCCCUUUAAAUACAUAUUUGAGCAAAAGGUCUAGGCUUUCUUAUCAUCUUUUAUCCUGGAGUUCUUUUGGACAUGUCCAAGUUCAUUGAAGGGAUAACUGAUGAUCGAAAGGUGAGCUAGUAUGGGUGGCAGCCCUAAUUAACUUACCAAGUAGGAUAGAAGGUUCUAGCCUUUUAUAAAGAGCGUUUGUACGCUAUUUGGCAAAACAAAAACGAGGCUUUUAGCCUCAUUUACCGUAAUUUCGCCCUCUACUCAAGUGGGACCACCCGCUUAAUUUAAGC